rnacentral:misc_RNA from 1 species
CGAGUGAAUCCCAAGACUUCAAUCACGAGAGCUUCAACAACAAUGGCGGAGAAGGGGAAGAGGCAGCAAUAGAAGAAGUGUCAUUGUUCGCCGAUUUCAAAGAUGGGUCAUCUGAUAGCGAUUCGAGCGCAAUUUUAAACGAAGAUUACAGCCCGACGGCGGGCAUUUCUUCACCCGGGGUGCUGCAGAAUCACCAGCAGUACCAUUUCAUGACGGGAGCGGUAUCUCCGGCGCCCUCCGCCGCCGUGAAACUCAACUACUUGCAGUUUCAGAAGGGGUAUCAACAACAAACCCAGAUGUUUCCAAAAAUGGAGGAGCAUAAUUUCUUCAGUGGAGAGGAGGCUUGUAACUUCUUCUCCGAUGAGCAAGCUCCGACUCUGCACUGGUGGGGCUGAAUCCAUGGUGGCAUAAAGGCGAAAUUUAAGAGAAUAAAAACGGGAAGUAGAUUUGGAAACUUGGGUGUGUAGUAAUUUUGAAGAUGGUUGGAAUGAAGGAAGAAGAUGAUUGAAUUGGGGAAGAGUAAUGGAGAAAUUGAGGUGGGAUUCUCCAUGAAAAUAAUUUGGGCUAAUUUUUCCCUAUUUCCUUUGAUUCUUCCAUGAGUUCGUGAGGGGAAAAUGAUGAGAUGGAAACUGAAAUCUAAGCUGUAAAAAUUAAAACCAG